rnacentral:rRNA from 1 species
AACUUUCCUUCGGGAAAGAUAUAAAGUGGCGCACGGGUGAGUAACACGUAGGUAAUGUACCUUUGGGUGGGGAAUAACUUAGGGAAACUUAAGCUAAUACCGCAUAAUGCAGCGGCUCCUUCGGGAGACAGUUGUUAAAGAUUUAUCGCCUAAAGAGCAGCCUGCGGCAGAUUAGCUAGUUGGUAAGGUAACGGCUUACCAAGGCUACGAUCUGUAUCCGACCUGAGAGGGUGGUCGGACACACUGACACUGAAUAACGGGUCAGACUCCUACGGGAGGCAGCAGUCGGGAAUUUUGGGCAAUGGGCGAAAGCCUGACCCAGCAACGCCGCGUGAAGGAUGAAGUCUUUCGGGAUGUAAACUUCGUAAGAAUAGGAAGAAUAAAUGACGGUACUAUUUGUAAGGUCCGGCUAACUACGUGCCAGCAGCCGCGGUAAUACGUAGGGACCAAGCGUUGUUCGGAUUUACUGGGCGUAAAGGGCGCGUAGGCGGCGUGACAAGUCAAUUGUGAAAUCUCCGGGCUUAACUCGGAACGGUCAAUUGAUACUGUUGUGCUAGAGUACAGAAGGGGCAAUCGGAAUUCUUGGUGUAGCGGUGAAAUGCGUAGAUAUCAAGAGGAACACCUGAG